rnacentral:rRNA from 1 species
AACGUAGGUGGCGAGCGUUAUUCGGAUUUACUGGGCGUAAAGCGUGUGCAGGCGGGGAGGCAAGUGGGGUAUGAAAUUUCCCGGCUUAACCGGGAAGGGUUAUGCCAGACUGUCUUUCUGGAGUGCGAGAGAGGGGCGUGGAAUUCCGGGUGUAGUGGUGAAAUGCGUAGAGAUCCGGAGGAACACCAAAGGCGAAGGCAGUGUCCUGGGGAGUACCUGACGCUCAGGUGCGAAAGCCAGGGGAGCGAACGGG